rnacentral:snoRNA from 1 species
CUACUAUAGCUAAAUCAAAUCAAAUGGCUUAGAAGUUAACUAGUCGGUUUUCGUUAUACAGCCGAAUAAUCUGCUUACUUAACUUCUUACAAUU